AGCAACAAGGAAGGUAGCAACGCUGAUUGACAGAUUAAACUUUUGCCGUAUCCGGUCGGCAAAUCUCCAAACACAUCUUCCUUUUUUAAGAAUGACUUCAGUGCCGUUCUUUGGUCUGUUGACACAAAAAUUGAGCUU